rnacentral:rRNA from 1 species
GACGAACGCUGGCGGCGCGCCUUACGCAUGCAAGUCGAACGCCCUCGUUUGAGGGAGUGGCAGACGGCUGAGUAUCGCGUGGGUAACCUGUCCGGUGGCGGGGGACAACGUUGCCGAAAGGCGAGCUAAUACCGCGUAAGUUCACCGGGUGAGAGUCCCGGUGAAGAAAGCAGCAAUGCGCCAUCGGAGGGCCCGCGGUCCUAUCAGGUAGUUGGUGAGGUAACGGCUCACCAAGCCGAAGACGGGUAGCUGGUCUGAGAGGACGACCAGCCAGAAGGGGACUGAGACACGGCCCCUACUCCUACGGGAGGCAGCAGCGAGGAAUCUUGGGCAAUGGGCGAAAGCCUGACCCAGCGACACCGCGUGAGGGAAGAAGGCCUUCGGGUCGUAAACCUCUUUUGUCGGGGAAGAAGUUCUGACGGUACCCGACGAACAAGCCACGGCUAACUACGUG